AUGUCUGGUUUGAAGAAAACACCAAUGAGAUGGAGUGGGAGAAACUCUGGUCUCCCAUUUCCUCUUUGUUGUAAUGAAACGAUUCAUUUGCAAGACAUGGAAGACACUGAUAUCUUAGCACUCUUUAAGGACCAUGCCUUUUCUGGCGCAGCAAUCAGAGACCAGAGGUUGCGUGAGCAGCUAGAGACUCUUGCAGAGAAACUUGCGAAAAGACUUGGUAGAUCUCCUCUGGCAGCAAAAACUGUGGGUUCCCAACUCAGCAGGAAAAAGGAUAAGGCUGCAUGGGAGGAUGCUCUAAGGAUUGACAACUUAAGUGAUCCCAGUAGAGCACUUCUUUGGAGUUAUGAGAAAUUAGAUCCAAGUUUUGCAGAGGAGUUGGUUCACAUGUGGGUACUAGUAGGACUUAUUGAUUCAUGCAAUGCAAACAAAACAAUGGAAGAUCUUAUGAGGGAUUGCGUUAAUGAGAUGGUCAAUGUUUGGUUCCUUCAACGAGUUAACAGAUCCGAAUAUGUUAUGCAUGAUCUUGUUCAUGAUUUGGCAGAGUCCUUGUCUGAAAAGUUCGGAGCAACAUCAACAAUCUAUCUGCAAACUACAUCAUUUACGCACCUUUAUCUCCAUUCAACCACUUACAGAGAUGACGCAAGAGAUAUUUUCCAGCAGGUGCUGCAGAAUUUGAAGAAGUUGUGUGUACUACAUUUGCGCUUCUAUAACAGCAGCAAGCUACCUGAAUCUGUUGGUGAAUUGAAGCACCUUAGUGACGACAUUAAAAUUUUGCCUGAAAAACUAUUCAACUUAACUAAGUUGAGAUAUCUUCAAGGAUGUGAUGAAAUUCCUCACAUAUGCAAGUUAAUUUCACUCCAACACAACAGACAAUUUUGCGUGCAAAAGCAGUUGGGCUAUGAGGUGCGACAACUGAAAGACAUGAACAACCUUGGUGGAGGUUUAUGUCUCACAAAUCUCGAGAAUGUUACCGGGAAGGAUCAAGCCUUAGAAGCAAAGCUACAUCAGAAAAGUCAACUUGAGAGAUUGCACCUUGAAUGGAGUGACAAUGAUGAUAUGGCUUCACAUUAUAGUUCACAUUUGGAAACUCUGGAAGGUCUGAUGCCACCACCUCAAAUUAAGGGCCUUACUAUCAAAGGUUACAGACAUGCAAAAUACGCAGGCUGGUUACUUGAGGAUUCUUGUUUCCAGAAUUUGGAAUCACUUGAUCUUGUUAAUUGCAGCGCCUUACAAAUCCUACCAUCCAAUGCCACACUCUUUGGGAAUUGCUCCUCACUUCUCCUAGAGCAUGUCCCAAACCUGAAGACAUUACCUUCACUUCCAACCAGCCUUGAGAAGUUACAAAUUGAGAAAUGCAUGAUGCUUAUGUUUAUUUCCAAGGAUGAGCUAAAACAGCAUAACCUGAGGGAGAACACCAUGGUGACAUAUGACUUGAAGGCACGGCUAUCUUCCAUGUUGGAAGAGUAUUCGGUAUCAGAAAUCAAGGAGGUACUAUUGUCAGAGCAUUCAUCUCUGAAGCCCUUGAUGAUAUUGAUGGAUGCUGAUAUUUCUCGUCUUCAAACCAUUAAAAGUGCUCUAGAAAGAGUGGGGGAUGAAGUAUUGGUAAUAGAGGAUAUAAUAAAGGCAUGGGUAUGUUGCCACGAGGAUAGGUUGGGACUUGUUUUUAGAAGGAACAUCAACCUGCCACUGGUUCCACCAUCAGGGUUGUCUCAGCUUCAUCUUUCUUUGUGCAUCGUUAUAGAUGGGGCAUUAGCUGUUUGCCCCUUGAUGGUCUCACUUCUCUGA
rnacentral:rRNA from 1 species